rnacentral:rRNA from 1 species
AUUGAACGCUGGCGGCAGGCCUAACACAUGCAAGUCGAGCGAGAGGAGGACGGGCGAGUAAUGUAUGGGGACUGGGUGAUAGACGGGGAUGACUACUGGAAAAGGUGGCUAAUACCGCAUACGAUCGGAUAAGCCAUAUUGGAUUAGCUAGUAGGUGGGGUAAAGGCUCACCUAGGCGACGAGGUCUAGCUGGUCUGAGAGGAUGAGCAGCCACACUGGGACUGAGACACGGCCCAGACUCCUACGGAGGCAGCAGUGGGGAAUAUUGCACAAUGGGCGCAAGCCUGAUGCAGCCAUGCCGCGUGUAUGAAGAAGGCCUUAGGGUUGUAAAGUACUGUCAGCGGGGAGGCGUUACCCGAAGAGGAAGCACCGGCUAACUCCGUGCCAGCAGCCGCGGUAAUAC